rnacentral:rRNA from 1 species
UACGAAGGGGGGCUAGCGUUGCUCGGAAUCACUGGGCGUAAAGGGUGCGUAGGCGGGUCUUUUAAGUCAGGGGUGAAAUCCUGGAGCUCAACUCCAGAACUGCCUUUGAUACUGAGGAUCUUGAGUUCGGGAGAGGUGAGUGGAACUGCGAGUGUAGAGGUGAAAUUCGUAGAUAUUCGCAAGAACACCAGUGGCGAAGGCGGCUCACUGGCCCGAUACUGACGCUGAGGCACGAAAGCGUGGG